GUGGCCAAGUUUUUAAGGGCGCACGGUGGAUGCCUUGGCACCAGGAACCGAUGAAGGACGUGGGAGGCCACGAUAGUCCCCGGGGAGUCGUCAACCAGGCUUUGAUCCGGGGGUUUCCGAAUGGGGAAACCCGGCAGUCGUCAUGGGCUGUCACCCGCUGCUGAACACAUAGGCAGUGUGGAGGGAACGCGGGGAAGUGAAACAUCUCAGUACCCGCAGGAAGAGAAAACAACCGUGAUUCCGGGAGUAGUGGCGAGCGAAACCGGAUGAGGCCAAACCGUAUGCGUGUGAGACCCGGCAGGGGUUGCGCAUGCGGGGUUGUGGGAUCUCUCUUCCACGGUCUGCCGGCCGUGGGACGAGUCAGAAACCGUUGAUGUAGGCGAAGGACAUGCGAAAGGUCCGGCGUAGAGGGUAAGACCCCCGUAGUCGAAACGUCAGCGGCUCGUUUGAGAGACACCCAAGUAGCACGGGGCCCGAGAAAUCCCGUGUGAAUCUGGCGGGACCACCCGCUAAGCCUAAAUAUUCCCUGGUGACCGAUAGCGGAUAGUACCGUGAGGGAAUGGUGAAAAGUACCGCGGGAGCGGAGUGAAAUAGUACCUGAAACCGUGUGCCUACAAGCCGUGGGAGCGUCGGAUAUGUGCUUGCACAUAUCUCGUGACUGCGUGCCUUUUGAAGAAUGAGCCUGCGAGUUUGCGGUGUGUUGCGAGGUUAACCCGGGUGGGGUAGCCGUAGCGAAAGCGAGUCCGAAUAGGGCGUUUCAGUAGCACGCUCAAGACCCGAAGCGGAGUGAUCUAGCCAUGGGCAGGUUGAAGCGGAGGUAAGACUUCGUGGAGGACCGAACCCACCAGGGUUGAAAACCUGGGGGAUGACCUGUGGUUAGGGGUGAAAGGCCAAUCAAACUCCGUGAUAGCUGGUUCUCCCCGAAAUGCAUUUAGGUGCAGCGUCGUGUGUUUCUUGCCGGAGGUAGAGCACUGGAUAGGCGAUGGGCCCUACCGGGUUACUGACCUUAGCCAAACUCCGAAUGCCGGUAAGUGAGAGCGCGGCAGUGAGACUGUGGGGGAUAAGCUCCAUGGUCGAGAGGGAAACAGCCCAGAGCAUCGACUAAGGCCCCUAAGCGUACGCUAAGUGGGAAAGGAUGUGGAGUCGCAGAGACAACCAGGAGGUUGGCUUAGAAGCAGCCACCCUUGAAAGAGUGCGUAAUAGCUCACUGGUCUAGUGAUUCCGCGCCGACAAUGUAGCGGGGCUCAAGCGUACCGCCGAAGUCGUGUCAUUGCAGCAA
rnacentral:rRNA from 1 species